rnacentral:tRNA from 1 species
GAAUAUAGCUCAGUGGCAGAGCACGUGCCUAGCAUGCAUGAAGUCCCGGGUUCAAUCCCCAGUACCUUCA